UCUCUGUGUGUUUGCCCAUUCUGUGGACCUAAUAUAAGUGGAACCAUGCAGUAUUUAUCUUUUUGUUACUGGCUUAUUUCACUUAGCACAGUGUCCUCAAGGUUCA